GUGAACGCUGGCGGUAGGCCUAACACAUGCAAGUCGAACGGCAGCACAGUAAUAGCUUGCUCUUCCGGGUGGCGAGUGGCGGACGGGUGAGGAAUACAUCGGAAUCUACUUUUUCGUGGGGGAUAACGUAGGGAAACUUACGCUAAUACCGCAUACGACCUACGGGUGAAAGCAGGGGAUCUUCGGACCUUGCGCGAUUGAAUGAGCCGAUGUCGGAUUAGCUAGUUGGCGGGGUAAAGGCCCACCAAGGCGACGAUCCGUAGCUGGUCUGAGAGGAUGAUCAGCCACACUGGAACUGAGACACGGUCCAGACUCCUACGGGAGGCAGCAGUGGGGAAUAUUGGACAAUGGGCGCAAGCCUGAUCCAGCAAUACCGCGUGGGGGAAGAAGGACUUAGGGUUGUAAAGCCAUUUUGUUGGGAAAGAAAAGCAGCAGGUUAAUAACCCGCUGUUAUGACGGUACCCAAAGAGUAAGCACCGGCUAACUUCGUG
rnacentral:rRNA from 1 species